rnacentral:tRNA from 1 species
GCCUAGGUAGCUCAGUUGGUAGAGCAUCAGAGUUUUAAUCUGAGGGUCCAGGGUUCAUGUUCCCAUUCUGGCA